rnacentral:rRNA from 1 species
AGUGAACGCUGGCGGCGUGCCUAACACAUGCAAGUCGUGCGCGAAAGGGAGCAAUCCUGAGUAAAGCGGCGAACGGGUGAGUAACACGUGGUUAACCUGCCUGGAUGUGGGGGAUACCCCGGGGAAACUCGGGACAAUACCGCAUGAUGUCUCUCGGGCGUCGGCCCGGGAGAGCAAAGCCGGGGACCGCAAGGCCUGGCGCUAGUAGAUGAGCCCGCGUGAGAUUAGCUUGUUGGUGGGGUAAUGGCCUACCAAGGCAACGAUCUCUAGCUGGUCUGAGAGGACGAUCAGCCACACUGGGACUGAGACACGGCCCAGACUCCUACGGGAGGCAGCAGUGGGGAAUAUUGCGCAAUGGGCGAAAGCCUGACGCAGCCAUGCCGCGUGUGUGAAGAAGGCCUUAGGGUUGUAAAGCACUUUCAAUUGGGAAGAAAGUUAGGUCGUUAAUAGCGGCCAGCCCUGACAUUACCUUUAGAAGAAGGACCGGCUAACUCCGUGCCAG